GACAAAUAACCACCAUUUGCUUCAACAUGGAUAGAACUGGAGGGUAUUAUGCUGAGUGAAGAAAUCCUGCAUAAACAUCAUUUUUCACAUAUGAGCUAUUGAUAAGUAAUUGAGCAGCAAUGACUUGGAAGUAUUGGAUGAAAACUAUUUCUUCUGGAGAAGAACAGUAAAUCAAGCUGAUCCUGGAAAAUGCUGACCCUUUCAACCUCAAGAAGAUUGGUACCAAUACUUGGUAUUGGAAGUAUGACUAUUUAUCAAUGAAAUAGUUUCAUAAAACUAUGAAAAUAGUUUUCAUUGCCAGGAUCUGGUUUCAGACCUGCCAGCGUAUUGCCUCAGCAACACCUCCCUGUGCUCCAGACUUGUCCCCAGUUGACCUCCAUCCUGUUCAUUUCUAUCACGUUUUAGGUUAGUGAAUGUCUUCUCUAUGAGACAGUUGAGAUCUUCACAGAAGAUCUCCAAUGAGAUGAGGGUUAGGCAUAUAAUUAAUGAAGCUGCUAAGAACAUCUAUGUACUCUUCUUGGACAUUUCUUUUGGUGUAAAUCUAGGACUGUACUUCCUGGAUCAAUAGGGCUUGAAAAGGGAGAUGAAUGUCUGAAAUGAAAAUCUCAACUGAUUCAGAGAUAAAGAAUAUAAAAUCAGUACUUCUGGGAACAAGCCACAUUAGUCUUCCUCUCUGCAGACCUACUUGCAUUCCAAGAAUAUUUUUCAUCUCUAUCAAAAGCAAGAGGGAUGCAGACAUGAUCACUUUCAUAGCUCACCAUGCCAAGGACCACAAUAACCUGCUGCAUAUGCUUCCUUUGUGCAUCAGUUAUAUGUUAAGAGACUAAAGAUUUACACUCUCCGAAGAGUUUAGAAAAGAUAAUAAACAUUCCCACAGAACGGAUUGCCUUUAUUGAAGAAAUAAAUGUGGUUCAGGAAUUUUUAUACCUGAACAUGAACAAGGAAGCAUGUUCAAAGUUCACUGCAGUAAUGUCAUACAGCCUGCUUAUCUGGUAGAUCAUGUUGAUUUUUAAAAUGUUGAGCCAGUCUUACAUAUCGGAAUAAAUCCCACCGGAUAUGGGAAUUGCCCAAGAAACACGUUGGAAAGUGGUAAAUAUCAUUGCACUGAUCCCAUCCCUGUGGUGGCCAGAGAGAAGCCAAGUAGAAGACACAGGACCAAAUGAAUGGACUCGAUCUUUGCUCCUGGUUUCUCUGUAAGUAUCCCCUUCAGUGCAGCCUACAAAGGCUCCCUUGAGGUACCAUCUCCAGCUAUUUGCUGCCACAAAUAGGUAGCCGUCACCUACCCUAACGCAAUUGCUAAAGAAAUAUGAAGACUCUAGGAAAAAGUGAGCAGUAUGUCUAAUUCUUUCCAAACAUCACUGGGCUUGACUGUAAGAAGAUGAAUCAUUGGGGCCAGAAGUUAAUCACAUAUGAUGAAAAGUUCCUCCAGGAAAAGCCGUUUGCUAACCAGCUAGCUCAAUUCUGAUUACCCAUCUGCUAAAACUUUAUGACAAAGCAAUUGAAGACACAAACUCAAGUUGGUUGACUGAUUUUUGGCUUCCCCUCUGAUUAGCCAUUCACAGGCCACCAAGGUAGGCUCCGUGCACGGCAUGGAGCCCGACAGGGGCUUGAACUCAUGACCUCAAGAUCAAGACCUGAACUGAUAUCAAGAGUUGGAUGCUCAACCGAUUGAGCCAACCAGGUGCCCCUGAUUUUAAUGAUUUUGUAAUAUUCCUGUCUUCUAUUUUUUCCAAAGCGAAAUUAAAAUCCUUUCACCUACAUAUUCUCUUUAAAUGCCUCAGAAUUGCCAGAACCCCUUCAUCUAUGGGCUAGAUAAAAAGUGUUACAUUUGGUGGAAAAAAUGUUACCUUCAUGUUGCCCUUUUCAAAUUACUCACAAUUGAGAUGGUUUAAAAGAAAAGAAAAAGAAUUAUUAUGUUGAAAGAAUUUAACCUUUUCGGAUAAAUUUAUUUUUUCCAUUAUACAGUCCUCAGCAUUUCCUAUAAAAUAGGUGCCAUCUAGUGGCCAGAACAAGAAACUGAAUGAGGUACCAACAACCCGCUGCUUAACCCAUCCAGUGGGGUGGGUUAACCCCUCCAACUGAGCUGAUGGGGCUGAGCUGCUCUCCAACCCUUGAAACAUGCUGAUCUCCCAUAAACACAGGAAACAUCACAGGCCAGGAGGCUAAGUGCUUCUGCUCCCACCAGGAUUUACUUUUACUUGAAUCAUCUGGAUUAAGGAACGGAAUAGAAACAGACUCAGGGGAGAAUUUCCAUAAUCUGCCAGAUAAAUGAAGGAAUGUGCUUAUUAGUUAUUAGAGAGAAAAUCAGGAAGCGUCCAGCCGAGGAAGAGGAAAAGUGGACAGUCGCUUCUGCAGAAAGGAGUGUGGCAAUCGCCACAGCGCUUGUGCUCACGCACUUUCUGCGUGUGCUGGAGACUUACUUGCUGAUGAUGAAACGAAUGUGCCGCGGAUGGAAACACUAUUAAGCAAGUGGCAAGGAAAACAUUCUGUGAAACGCUCGGGCCAGUUAUAACCUGCCUCCCGUCUCAUCACGGAGGUUUUACGCAAUCGUUUAUCAUCAGUCUGGAGAGUCGGAACACGACUCCGGGAGGUGCCACUCGGCAGCCCCGGGCCGCAGCCCUGCGCUUCCGAAGGGGCCCGGCGGGGGGCGCGACCCGCACACGUGCGCUGGGGGGCGGGAGGUCCCCGCGCCCGCGGCCCUCGGGGUUGGCUUUGCGACGGUACGAGCCCCACGGUCUGGCUGUUCCCUCCUUCCUCUUCUCCACUUUCCUCGAUUUAGGACGGGGCAUCUCUGGAUAUGUACACAGUUCAAUUUUGGCUUCUGUUAGUCCCUGAAUGUUGGCCUUCUAGAGAUCAUUUGUAGAAGUUCCACAAGAGCAAGAAUCAUGUCUGUGUUACUCCUGUUUCUCCAGACUUUGGCCUGUAAUAGGUGCUAUAAGAGGUGCUCUACAACUAUUGAAUGUGUUAUCAUUGUAUUUUUCAUCUUUGAUCUCCCGCUCUUCCUUCCGGAUCCUCACAGCAUGGUAUCGGGGAACGCUAUCAUCGUACCUAGAGCGUUUAAAGAAUCCGCACUGACGGAGGGGAGAGAGAAGUAGAAACAAAGAGAACUUUUAAUAUGAAGAUGGAAAGACAAGACUGAAUUACCCCCACCUCUUCGGCUUCUGUUUCCAAAGAAAAUGGAUUUUCAGGCCGGGAAGGACAGAUGCACCAAGAUAAAGAUGAAACUGAAACCCAUAAUAUGGGAGAGAAAAAAAAAAAGGAAAAGCAUCCUGACACUUGAAUUAAGCUCAAAUCUUUAGGCCCAGAAAAAGUAUGCCUUAAAUUGCUAAAGAAAUCUGUAGAUAGGACAUUGGAGCUGUUGUCGCUCAAAAACACAAGUCAGUAGAAGAGGUACCAGAAGACUAGAGGUAAGAAAAUGUCCCUGUUUUCAAAAGAAAUGCAUUCUAGACAUAAGCUAGGAAUCCGUUCAUAUAUCUACCAAGUAUUAAACAAGCCAAUAGGAUCACAGCAGAGAUUCCAAUUUCCAUCAGCAUACACGAGUUCUCCACGCCCUCACAUGAAAUGCCCAAGAGAACUUGACUUGCAUGUGUGACCAGCCACAAGACUGAGUACCAGCAUCCUGGUUCCAUCACCUUCCAGGAAAGAAGAGCACUUGAUGAGGGCGUGUGAGCCCAACAUCUGGUCUCCCCUCCACAUGUCUACAGGUCCUGUGACCCUGAGAGAGAGACAACCUCCCUUGGAUUGUUUUCUCAUCUGUAUUUGAGAUCUGGGGACUUGACAGGGAGUACGUAUUACAGAACCAAAAUGAACAGGAGCCCUGAAACCAACCAGUCUUCCAGGUUUCAAUUCAGGACCCCAACUGGCAUCCCCCUGCUGUGCCUGCUUCCUUUUUUAGGAGUACAGCAUCUACCUUGUCCUUCUGAGGUUUACGGGACUACACACAGAUAAAACGCCUAGUAAACUGUGGACAUUUUAUUAAUGCAUUAUUAAUGUUUGUCCCCUUCCUCUAAAGUGUGUGUUCUUUUUCCAGCUCUAAAAACUCCAUGAUUCUCCCAGUUACUGAUUUAAAGUUACAGAAAGCAAGAGCAGCUGCCUCCAGUCAGAGGGGCAGAGAAGGGAUCUCACGGAGGUUCUGGCUCAGUUGACAGUCCCUUAUGAUGCCUUACUGGUCACACUGGGUCCUCAAGCUCCAGAAGACGUCAUUUCCCUCCACAAGUACCAAGUCACCCUGGCUAAUGUGCCCCAAUGGUAGUGAAUCAGCAGAAAUCCUCAGCCUGACCUCCUUAUUCAACUAUAAGAGAAACGGACACCAAAGCAGCAGCCGGCAUGCCACUCGGUCGCCUUCCUAAGGAAAGUAAUGAUUUUCUCACAAAAGUUAGCUUCCUUUAUUUACACUAUGGAGACACAGGGUAAAGCAACGUACCUUUAGUUUCAGGAAGUUUAUCUCACCCCGUGGCUCACAAGCUAUCUUCUCCAAUCCUUUGGACUCGACUUUCACCAAAUAGAGCAACCAUUUUCCAUUGCUAAUUUCUUUUGGCCACUGGAUAUUCAAGGUUGCUGUGCCGAGGUUUUUCAGAGGUUUACCCAAGUUAAUUACCUGUUAGAAAAUAAUACGUAUUAUAUCUCAGUGUAAUUCUUUCACAAAAUUAAGGAGCAGCUCCUGUUGCCAACGAAAAAAAGCCAAAAUACCUGGCAUAAUCCUACAAUGAAAAGUAUAGGCUCCAAAAAUGGCCUACAGAUAAAUAAGGGUGCCCGAAAUAGAGAUUCAGGCCUAGAAAAGGUAAAAGAGAAACCACUGUUCAUACAGCCCAGGAACUGCUGUGUGCACCAGAAUCCGCAGCUCCGGGGAGGUCACAAGUGUGCGUGCGUGGCUCUGGAACCUCCCUGCAGGGCAGACAAGAGCCUCUGCUACGGUGGUGCACCAACAGCCUGCUCUGGGAAGCCCCUUCUGUGAAAAUGACACCGCCUGUCUUCUACUACAAGGGUGGCUGUGGGGAGCUUGGGUAGCAGCUGAGAGCCGGAGUAAAACCAUUAGGACACCCAUGGAUCGUGAGUCCAAGCCCAGAACAGGGCAGCUUCCUGCAGCAAAAGCCGAACGAUGUAGGAGCUGUGUGUGUGGGUGUGGGGGGCGGGGGUGCUGGACUGCUCUGGAACCCAGAGGUGCCUCUUUCAGCCACACCUGUGCAGGUGUCAGCACCACUGCCACCAGCACCUGUCACAGCUGUGUCUGUAAUGCUGAGACACACAGAGCAGAACUCAGGCCCUUCAUCCUGCUGGGGUCAGGGGUGGGCACGUUCUUGCCAUCUCAGACUUUCACCUCAACCACGGUCACUAUGCUUUCUUGGCUGCUUGGAGUCGUGCAGACCCAAACCCACAGAUGAGUUAUGAGCCGCCUCUGUACCAAGCACUUACUUAGGUUCAAACAGAGUCACUGUGAUUCUUGCUUAGAAAUGCUUCAGAGCAAUCAUUCGAGUUCCUCCCUGGCACGGGGCUUAUAAAAUGUGAGGGCACAUUAACCACACGCAGUAAGAGAGAUCACCUUACAACGGAGGAGGAAAUAAAUCCCAACACUUUCUAAAGCCAGAUAUAAAUUACUUUGAGAUUUUUUUCUUUGUUUUACAGACAGACUCUGGAGAGGGGCGGGGUAUUCCUUUGUCCCUACACCACUUAGACAUUAAAACUCUCUAAUAAGAAAAUUA